GGCCUCAUCGUCUAAUGGUUAGGACGGCGCCCUUUCACGGCGCAAAUGGGAGUUCGAUUCUCCCUGGGGCUA
rnacentral:tRNA from 1 species